UACGAAGGGGGCUAGCGUUGCUCGGAAUCACUGGGCGUAAAGGGUGCGUAGGCGGGUUUUUAAGUCAGGGGUGAAAUCCUGGAGCUCAACUCCAGAACUGCCUUUGAUACUGAAGAUCUUGAGUUCGGGAGAGGAUGGUGGAAUUCCCAGUGUAGAGGUGAAAUUCGUAGAUAUUGGGAAGAACACCGAUGGCGAAGGCAGGUCUCUGGGCCACUACUGACGCUGAGAAGCGAAAGCAUGGGGAGCGAACAGGG
rnacentral:rRNA from 1 species